rnacentral:lncRNA from 1 species
UUAUUUUACUCAAACAAGGAUACCAUGAUGAUCUACACAUUUUGUACUUGAACUUUGGUUUUUAUUUCGUGUCAUUUGGUGCCCUAUAGCAUGCGUAUACUUGAGUGGAAGUUUGAGAAAAUCCACUGGUUUUUCACGUUUUUCUGCAUGCAUGGCUAGGGGUUUUGGUUUGUGAAGAAGAUGAUUAUGUGGCGCUGCAUGAGCCCUUGGAUCC